ACUCUUUUAGCAUUAGUUAGUACAACUGGCUUCCAAUCAGUUAGUUUUGGUUCACCCCAAGAAAAAGUA
rnacentral:tRNA from 1 species